rnacentral:lncRNA from 1 species
CAGAGGUUGCAAUGAGCCGAGAUCGCCCCACUGCACUCCAGCCUGGGCGGCAAGAGUGAAACUCAUCAAAAAAAAAAAAAAAAAAAAAAAAGACUCAGCUGCUCUGUGGGGCAGAACAGCAGCCAACUCAACUUCCUGUAAAAGCUCAUGCUGGUAGCUCGGAACUGCCAAGGGACCUAGGAGGCUCCAGACUUGACCCAGCUGGUGAACGGUCGACUUGGCCAAGGCUGAGUUCUACCGCACAUUUUUAACGUGGCUCCGCCUCACUUUAAGGAAGCCUGGUACUUUACUCCCCAGAAAAUGCUUCUAGUCAAAAGAAAUUUGGCUUAUGAGAAACCUCCCCGCAGUUUAAAAAAAGAGGUCUUUCUCCAGUAUUUAUAGCACUUAAUUUUCAAAAAUGCAGUAUCUUUUCAGGUACACUGUGCUGUAUCAAAGUAUUCAAAAAUGCGUCAGCUGUGCCAGGGAGCCUACCCUCUGAUGGUCUGGAUCUCCUCGCCGUGAUAUGGACCAGUGCUGCUUAAACUUUAAUGAGCACAUAAAAAACACUCGAGGCUCUUAUUAAAAAUGCAGAUUGUGGCAGGGCCCAGGACUCUGCAUUUGUAACAAGCUGCCAGCGAUGCUGUUGCUUCUCAGACCACACUGUCAAGAAGCCGGGAUCUAGACUUUUUUUUUUUUUUAGUUUUUUUACUAUAAUUGCUUUAUUUUUCCAGCCCCAACCAAGUAAUACUUCCUUCCUUGCAUCAUAGCACCCCAGAUCUUUUUUACAGUAUAGUUCUCCAGUGCUUUUUAGAAAUUAGUUCUCCUCAUGCCUCUAGUGAUAAACACCGCUGCUGCUGUUUUCUUACCUCCUGAACUUAGAGAUCCCACUCUAUUGCCCCAAGAGUCGAUAACCUGUCAGUCUGGGGACUGGCCACUGGAAUUGUUAAAGUCACUGAAUCAUGGCCCCUCCCAUCCCUGUAAAGUGGGUUAAGAGUUCAUGAUAAGGCAGCUAAUAUCCAUUUCAAUCCUUUUAAGCUUCUAGAACAACAGUAAUUCUCAAAGUGAUAGGGGCAGUGGAGAAUCAGAGUCCUCUGGGAAGCUACUCCAAAAUACCUCCGCCAGCCACCCCUCCAAUCCAAUGGCUCUCAGUAUUGUAUUUGAAAAAUAAGCUUCCUAGGUAAUUCUGAUGCGACCCAGUGGGUCGCAUCAGAAAACACAAGAUUUUUUCUACCCUAGAAAAGGGGCAAGCUAAUAAGUGCAUUUAAAAGCAGAUCAGCUGGGUGGAGUGGCUCACACCUGUAAUCCCAGCACUUUGGGAGGCCAAGGUGAGUGGAUCACUUGAAGUCAGGAGUUCGAGACCAGUCUGGCCAAGAUGGUGAAACCAUGUCUCUACUAAAAAUAUAAAAAUUAGCUGGGCGUGGUGGUGCACACCUGUAAUCCCAGCUACUCAGGAGGCUGAGGCACGAGAAUUGCUUGAACCCAAGAGGCAGUGGUUGCAGUGAGCAGAGAUCGUGCCACUGCACUCCAGCCUGGGUGACAGAGUAAGACACUGUCUCAAUAAUAAUAAAGCAGAUCAAACGGUU